GGACAAGAACAAGGAAAAAAAAAUUAUUUUAAAAGGGAUCAAGUAAUAAUAAAAUUCACCUGAGCUGUCAUGAGACAUUAUGCAUUUUCUGCAGAGAUCUGCUGCAUGCAGCCACAACUCAUUACCCCCGAUAAAACUUACCCUUGUACAAAGGUAUUCUUUGAUUCACAGUUUCAGAGAAAGCAUAUGCCAAAGCUUGGGCAACACUGAUGCCAGCAAGUCAGAGUUCUUACAUGCCAAAGUCUUCCUGUAGUAAGUAUUAAACACUAUGCAACCUCCUUAUUUAUUGACUGAUUACACCUAUUUAAAGUAACAGCAAAGGCAGAACUGAUAUUGAGCAACGCAACAUUUCAGCAGUAAAAGGCAGCUUCACAAACAUGCCAGGCAAGACUUUCAUUUCAAGUGGAAAUAUUUAAGAUCUCUCUAUGACAAAAUAUUUUGUCAUUCUAUGAACAAUCCCCUCCCCAUCCUCCCCCCCCCCCAAAGAGCACCAGGAUAAACUGCAUUUGUGUUUUGAAAGCAGUCUUCAAAAGACAAGAAGCCACUGCCACCCAAUUCUGAGGUUUCAGCAGGUCAAUUCCUCAACUAAAAGUAGAAGGUAUGUGUGCAUAAAUAUGGAAUGAGAAAAUGGUCCAGCACAGUAGACUAAAUUUGAGCAGGACAGCUUGCUUGCAUCAUGUGAAUGCUGUGGAAGGGACCCGUUGGAUUACAGGCUGUUAAGAGCUACACUGAAAUGACAGUACCAGAACCACUGUACUGUAUUUUGCCAAAGCCCCAUAGUGGCUGUUCUCAAGCAAGCAAAGCAGAAAUCCAUCAGGACAACCAGCCCUAGUGCCAUACUCAACAAGCUUGCUCGUUUCUCUCACCCUCUGCCCCAAGUUCUGGCACAUGUUAUGCUUUGAGGCUUAUGUGUAUGCUUGGCUCUGUCUUCAUCGAGCAUGGAGGGGUAGCACCAGGAAAGUGCCAGUAUGAAAACUCCUCCCCAGGCUUGGAUUCUGCACGACUCACUCCUCUCAGCACUCCCAACAGCUUGGGCUUGUAUGACUGCUCCUUCCCAAGCGCUUCACUAAGUCUGUAGACUGUGCAUUCCUCAAAGUAGAAAUGUUUUCCUCCUCAAGUGCAGUGUACACACUUUGUGUACUAUUACAAGAACCGCCAAACCCUGCAGUGACAGACAGCUAUAUUUUGACCUAUCCCAAGUGCUACUACAACAUCCAUCACAUCCAGUUGUUAUUUUUUCUCUUUCUGAUCCCUGCUCUCACCAGUUCUGCUUGCUAGAAAGCAAUGGCAUUGUUCACAUUUUUGAAGCAGCAGCUAAUGCUUGUUUCAGAGCUUUUGAAGUUCAUUCGGAAGUACCUCAUACUUGGCAACUCUCAUUGGAGUAAAUGCUAUUUCUGUUUGCCAACAGGGUGUUAUGUUAAAAGGCUUACUUCAUCUCUUGCAAAUAUGCUGUGGGAAACUAGUACUCUUAAGACUGGAACAUGGAAAGACAAUCUAUCAUAAAGCAUACAAAGAAAAUGAAAUAUGUACUGGAAUGGCAGUGCCCAAAAUGUAGGUCUCAAAUUAUACUUAAUGGAGUGGGGAGAGUGGGAAGUGUUUGGGUUUGUGUCCAUGCCCCUCUCAAACGACGUUUUGGCUAAGAAUCCUCUCUACCCCAGCACAACUCUUUCUCCAUCUCUCCAUCCUUCUUCCUAUUUAAAAGUGUUACUGUGGCAUAGAUUUAUUAAGAUUAAACAAACCUGACAUCUGUGACUCACAGGAACAUAGCAUUUGCUCUAACCAUGUAGAGCACUAAUAUUUUGCAGAUUUUUUGUAUCCUUGGAUUUUUAUAACGUUCUACACGGAGCAAUACCAGAUUUCUUCCUCAAAGGGGAGGAAGAGAAACACAGAGAUGAUUUACAACUCAAGGAAGGUGGUUAUCAGUCUUCCUUUAUCAAACAAGGAAAGACAAGACAAGAGGGAUAAAGGGUGGUUCAUACAAAUGCAGAGCCAGUGGAACAGGCAACACAAAUAAUUCAUGUACUCUGAAAAUUAUUUUAUAUAAAACUUAAAAGGAAAAAUCCGCAAACACCCACAUCAAACUCUGUGACCACCAGAGCAGCGAACACACAACACAGAUCUUCUGGCUCCUUAUCAAGUUCCUGUUAUUUUCAUUAGAGUAGUGCCCAGAGAUCCCAGCCAAUAUCUUGACUCUGGAGGACAGAUUCUGUCUGAGAACGCAGUAGUACCCCAAGGGGCCUUCCAGUGCAAAAGAUAGAGGACACCACACAAGAGGUACCAAGACCAGCACCAAACAAAGAGAAGAUUGCACCCAUCAGCUAUAUACACUGGUUGGAGGCUGGACAUUUACUUUUCAAGGAAGAAGACUGAAGAGAUGUGGAGAAACCUCACCAAUUGACUUCAGUAAGACCUCAGCAUCCUCUGCCAAUGGCUACAAGGAAACUGCUGUCAAGCUUGAUCAAUUUACAUCUCAUCUGAUGACAUACAACCGCUGGUGUUAUCUGACUGGCAAGAAACAGUGUACAACUGGGCUCUGAAAACCAGUAACUCCAAGACAGCCAUUGGCCAUAUAACAUACUGAAAACACACAACGAAAAGCGUCCCCAUGAAAGCCACCCUUCUUCCUCCCAUUUAUAACAGUAGAAGAGUAUGUCACAGUAAGCUUUAGCAGCGCAGAUACGCAAUCCUGCUAGCAGGCAAACAGAUCAAACAUCUACUUCUUUGUAAAUGAAUCCCAGACUAUGCCUAAUUGUAUGAGCAGGAUGUGAAAAGAUUAUUCUAUCUGAGAAAUAUACACAAUCCUUGUCUUUGGCAGCAAAAUAAUAUCAAAUUAUUUGAUAGAAGAAAACAGUAUUUGAACACCUAGGAAAUCUCUUCAUUUUAAAGGCCGUAGUAAUUUCCAGCAGCAGCUGCUCAAAAUCUACUAGUUUAGCAUCCUAUAGCAGAGCAACAUUUAAAUCUCACUUCAUGGGUAGAAACACACCACCUUUCAGCUACUGUUGAACUGACUCA